CCUACGGGUGGCAGCAGUGGGGGAUAUUGGACAAUGGGGGAAACCCUGAUCCAGCGACGCCGCGUGAGUGAAGAAGUAUCUCGGUAUGUAAAGCUCUAUCAGCAGGGAAGAAAGAAAUGACGGUAUCUGAGUAAGAAGCCACGGCUAACUACGUGCCAGCAGCCGCGGUAAUACGUAGGGGGCAAGCGUUAUCCGGAAUUACUGGGUGCAAAGGGAGCGUAGACGGGAAUGCAAGCCUGGAGUGAAAGGCGGGGGCCCAACCCCCGGACUGCUCUGGAAACUGUGUAACUGGAGUGCAGGAGAGGCAGGCGGAAUGCCUGGUGUAGCGGUGAAAUGCGUAGAUAUUAGGAAGAACACCAGUGGCGAAGGCAGCCUGCUGGUCUGUAACUGACGUUGAGGCUCGAAAGCGUGGGGAGCGAACAGGAUUAGAUACCCGGGUAGUC
rnacentral:rRNA from 1 species